rnacentral:rRNA from 1 species
AUUGAACGCUGGCGGCAGGCCUAACACAUGCAAGUCGAACGAGUGGCGGACGGGUGAGUAAUGUCUGGGAAACUGCCUGAUGGCGGGGGAUAACUACUGGAAACGGUAGCUAAUACCGCAUACCAUCGGAUGUGCCCAGAUGGGAUUAGCUAGUAGGUGGGGGAACGGCUCACCUAGGAGCAGAUCCCUAGCUGGUCUGAGAGGAUGACCAGCCACACUGUAACUGAGACACGGUCCAGACGCCUACGGGAGGCAUCAGUGGGGAAUAUUGCACAAUGGGCGAAAGCCUGAUGCAUCCAUGCCGCGUGUAUGAAGAAGGCCUUCGGGUUGGAAAGUACGUUCAGCGGGGAGGCGUGACCCGCAGAAGAAGCACCGGCUAACUCCGUGCCAGCCGCCGCGGUAAUAC